rnacentral:snoRNA from 12 species
ACAGUUCGGUGAUGAAACCAUGGAAUAAGCGCUGGGCACAGCGCCUGACAUCCGUGAGGAGUCAUUCCAUGCUGCCUUCCUUCUGAGAACAAC